rnacentral:rRNA from 1 species
UACGAAGGGUGCAAACGUUGCUCGGAAUCAUUGGGCGUAAAGCGCACGUAGGCGGCCCUGCAAGUCGGAUGUGAAAUCCCUCGGCUCAACCGAGGACGUGCAUCCGAAACUGCGGGGCUCGAGUAUGGAAGAGGGUCGCGGAAUUCCCGGUGUAGAGGUGAAAUUCGUAGAUAUCGGGAAGAAUACCAGUGGCGAAGGCGGCUCACUGGGCCAAUACUGACGCUGAGGUGCGAAAGCGUGGGGAGCAAACAGG